rnacentral:rRNA from 1 species
UACGGAGGGUGCAAGCGUUUAUCCGGAAUCACUGGGCGUAAAGGGUGCGUAGGCGGGUCUUUUAAGUCAGGGGUGAAAUCCUGGAGCUCAACUCCAGAACUGCCUUUGAUACUGAGGAUCUUGAGUUCGGGAGAGGUGAGUGGAACUGCGAGUGUAGAGGUGAAAUUCGUAGAUAUUCGCAAGAACACCAGUGGCGAAGGCGGCUCACUGGCUCGGUACUGACGCUGAGGUGCGAAAGCGUGGGGAGCAAACAGGG